rnacentral:rRNA from 1 species
ACUGGUGGUUGGAGCGGCGGGGAAAUACCCGGUCCCAUUCCGAACCCGGUCGUCAAGCCCGCCAGCGCCGAUGGUACUCGAGGGGCAACCCUCCGGGAGAGUAGGUCAUCGCCAGCC